rnacentral:rRNA from 1 species
UACGUAGGGAGCAAGCGUUGUCCGGAAUCAUUGGGCGUAAAGCGCGCGUAGGUGGCCUCGUAAGUCCGCUGUGAAAGUCAAAGGCUCAACCUUUGAAAGCCGGUGGAUACUGUGGGGCUAGAGUACGGAAGAGGCGAGUGGAAUUCCUGGUGUAGCGGUGGAAUGCGCAGAUAUCAGGAGGAACACCAAUGGCGAAGGCAGCUCGCUGGGACGUGACUGACGCUGAGACGCGAAAGCGUGGGGAGCAAACAGG